AUAAACAUUAUAAACUAAGCAGUUAAUCAAGGAAAUAGUAGCACUUUCAUAAUUUUUCAAAUGAAACAAUUACAAGAGAGAGGAUGGAGGUAUACUAACCUCCUUAUGAGUAUCAAACCAAAGAAAAGUCUCUUUUCUUAGCAGUACAGAAUCAAGAAUUCACCCCGACCAAUGUAAUGCUAAGGAUCAGAAAGAAAUCAGAAUCUACUCAGAAUCCUAGCUUAGUUUACUACUUAAGACUAAAAUUGAUAUCUUUCUAAAUAAUUUUGUGAUAGCUUUUUGAUAUGUUGGGUCUGUUGGCUAUGUAUGAAGAUGUUAGGUAUGUUAGGUGAGAAUAUUAAAAGAUCUUAUUUAUAGGGCCAUUAAUGACUUAGGAUUUUAGCAAAAUUCAUGCUCAAUAGUGGAAGAUAACGACUACGAUGCAAGCAUAGGCGAUCGAAAAUCAGAGAGAUAGAGGUGAAAUUAGUGACGAAUUUUUACCCGAGAAGAGAGGAAAUUAACUAUUGAUGGAAAAACCCAUCGGGUAAGGCCCCAAUGCCUAGAAGUUAUUGCAUUUGACAUCUAGACCUCGAAUAAUCAUAAUGAGGUUUUGAGGAGGCUCCCAUGCGCUUUGAUUUGACAGAACAGAAGAAAAUCUUAGACGAUUUGAGAUUUCAUCCUUUGAUCUAUGACUUCAACAUUAGGUCUUUUGAAAUUAUAUGGUCAAAAUAGAAAUAGAGUAAUGAGAUUUGUAUAAUAGAGACAAGUUGUAAGGCCAUGCAUGCCAUGGAUAUGAAAAGCCACAGAUGAUUUGAAGUUCCACUUGACCCUGCACUCAAAGAAAAAUUCUUAGUGAGAGCGAGGAAGUUAUUUGUGUCGAUCACAGUGUUGGUUUGCCCCGGCCUUUGAUACGGCUAUGCCACGAAGUUCGGUAUGUGGAAAAAU
rnacentral:lncRNA from 1 species